CAUUAUUGAUUGCGAAUCGUUGUCUCCAGUGCUGGCCAGCUCGCCUGGCAAGUGCACGUUGGCAGCUUUCAUCCAAUACCCUUGUGCACCUUUGGCCUCUUGCUAGCUUCGGCGAGCAGAGGAUUUUUACACCCACUCGAAUGUAAUGAAAUUAUUGUUGUGCACACGCACUACUAUACAACUUUCAACAACGGAUCUCUUGGCUCUCGCAUCGAUGAAGAACGCAGCGAAAUGCGAUAAGUAAUGUGAAUUGCAGAAUUCAGUGAAUCAUCGAAUCUUUGAACGCACCUUGCACCCUUUGGCAUUCCGAAGGGUAUGCUCGUUUGAGUGUCAUUGUACUCUCACACUCCCGAUCAUUUGGUUAGGAGCGGUGGACUUGGGUGUUGCUGCUUGACCGUGGCUCACCUUAAAUGCAGUAGUGCAACUUUCGGUUGGACAUAGUACGGCGUGAUAAGUGUCUUCGCCGGCACCUCCUCACAGAGGGUGGCCGAUCGGGAGCUCUGUGCUUCCAACCGUCUUCGGACAACAACUGACAACUUGACCUCAAAUCGAGUAGGACUACCCGCUGAACUUAAGCAUAUCAAUAAGCGGAGGAAAAGAAACUAACAAGGAUUCCCCUAGUAACGGCGAGUGAAGAGGGAAGAGCUCAAAUUUUG
rnacentral:rRNA from 1 species